rnacentral:rRNA from 1 species
GACGUAGGGCGCGAGCGUUGUCCGGAUUUAUUGGGCGUAAAGAGCUCGUAGGCGGCUUGUCGCGUCGUUCGUGAAAACCUGGGGCUCAACUCCAAGCUUGCGGGCGAUACGGGCAGGCUAGAGUUCGGUAGGGGAGACUGGAAUUCCUGGUGUAGCGGUGAAAUGCGUAGAUAUCGGGAGGAACACCAGUGGCGAAGGCGGCUACCUGGGCCAGUUCUGACGCUGAGGCGCGAAAGCGUGGGGAGCAAACAGG